rnacentral:rRNA from 1 species
CAGAGGGUGCAAGCGUUAAUCGGAAUUACUGGGCGUAAAGCGUGCGUAGUCGGCUUUUUAAGUCGGGUGUGAAAUCCCCGGGCUCAACCUGGGAAUUGCAUUCGAUACUGGAUCGCUAGAGUUCGGCAGAGGGAAGCGGAAUUUCGGGUGUAGCGGUGAAAUGCGUAGAUAUCCGAAGGAACAUCAGUGGCGAAAGCGGCUUCCUGGACCAGAACUGACGAUCAGGCACGAAAGCGUGGGGAGCAAACAGGAUUAGAUACCCUGGUAGUCCACGCCAUAAACGAUGACAACUAGACGUUGGGAGGGUAUGCCUCACAGUGUCGCAGCUAACGCGUUAAGUUGUCCGCCUGGGGAGUACGGCCGCAAGGUUG